GAAGCGUCUACCCCGCAUUGAUACCUCCUGGUAUUGAGUGAGACGGGGACCUUCGCCCAGCAAUGGGCGAAUCA
rfam:Actinobacteria bacterium OK006 ctg223, whole genome shotgun sequence.